rnacentral:rRNA from 1 species
UACAGAGGUCCCAAGCGUUGUUCGGAUUUACUGGGCGUAAAGGGUGCGUAGGUGGUGAGGUAAGUCUGAUGUGAAAUCUCCGAGCUCAACUCGGAAAUGGCAUUGGAAACUACCUUGCUAGAGGGUUGGAGGGGGGGACUGGAAUACUUGGUGUAGCAGUGAAAUGCGUAGAUAUCAAGUGGAACACCAGUGGCGAAGGCGAGUCCCUGGACAACUCCUGACACUGAGGCACGAAAGCUAGGGGGAGCAAACAGG